UUCAAUGAGAAAGUGAUCAUAACUGCAAGAGAAACAGGGACACUUGGAGGAGGCUCAAGCCGAGCCCAUUUCUUAAUCCUCACUGGGAGAGGGUUAACAACCAUUGGACAGAUUCCGUAAACCAGCAAAUCAGCGGUUCCACUGCAAAUGAGCAAAAAGAGGCCUGUCACCUGCCCCAAGGCCAGGGCGAGUCUGGGAGGUGGAACCCUGCCAAAGGCAGCUGUGACCCGGGAUUCUGGGUUGGCCCUGCUCCCUUCCCAGGCUCUGUCUGGGCAGUGAGGGAUGGCGGGAAGUUGGCUCAGGAGAACACUGGAGGUCCCCAAAUUGGGGCUGGAGCCUGCUGAGGGGCAGUCCUACUUAGAGCGUUUGGAGGAAAGCUUCCUCAUGGAUGACCUGCGGCUGCUGCCCCACGGUCAGGGUGAUGUUCGCCUGUCACAAACAGGUCAUCCAGCUUGCCCCAUGACCCCAGCGGUCUGUGCGGGGAACCUAGGCCAUCUGCUCAGCCAUUCAUGAAAGCACCGACGUUGUCUGUGCGUCCGUGGGCCACACUCUUGUCCCGCAGACCACAGUGGUCACCCGGCCCUGUGGUGAUGGAGAUGGCCGGCUCUUUCACUGAGUGGCUCACUGUCAUUUUUCCACACCAGCAGCUGACGGCUUGAGAGCAGUGGGUACAGUGAUGCUGCACUUGGUGCGUGGAGAAGACUUGCAUCAGCCCUCUCCCCCUUCUCGCCCCCUGGCCUCCCGGGAUUCACGGUCCUCCAUGCCCCGCCCCCUGACCCGGAUCUGCUGCAUCGGUUUCCUUCCGGGUCAAGAUGGCUCCCGGGCUAGCCUGCGCCCAGCCCGGCUUCCUCCCCGGGGCUGCAGUGGGCCUGAGAAGCUAUGCAGCCACAUCCCAUCGGCCAGGAAGUGCAGACACGAAGAUGACCGAGGAUCCCAAACUUUUUUUUUUUAACCUUCUCCCAGGGAGGAUUAUAAAAUGGGAUCAACUUGCAAUUUUGGAUUUUACCGUGGCACAAAAGUGAUAUGUGUUUGAAUUUUGAUCUUAUCCUGAGCUAGUGGAAUGCAGUCUAAUACUCUCUCGGGAUGCUGGGCAGUGACCGCAGCCGCAACAGCUACAGGGACUAACAGCUGACUCUGCAGUGUGCCGGGUUGUUGAACGACGAUAUUAGCUGCCUCGGGUGCUUCUCGCCUAGGUGAUGGCAGUCCGUGUGUCCUCAUGACGGCCCAGCUGCAAAGGACUCCUUCCUGGCUUCCCACCCGAAGAAGCCAUUCUCUACUACACUUGCCGCUCACCUUACUUAUCGGGACCUGAAACUGUCUCGUUAUUUGCUUUUGUUGGAAAAUUCCAAUGUAGCAGCUGCCUCUUCUCUUGGGUUCUUUGCUGUCUCCUGCACCUGACACAGGGCUUGGUAUAUGGAGGCACCCACUAAAUGUCUGCUGGUUGGACGUGUGGGUGUCUGGUGUGGGUCUCUUGCAUUAUAACCUAGUUUUGGGGGAAAAUAAAGAACAUGGAGAAAGGAAUAUGGUAGCCCGGUGACUGUGGCCCCGCCCCUACCUGCCUUCCCACAUAGUAUGGCUGCUAGGGUUCUGCCUGGCUUGUGGUGUGUAGCAAAGGGGUUUGCACUCUCCCCUGCUCCCUGUCUUCCGCACCCUUGGUUGCCUCAUGGGAAGACAACAUGGGGACUUGGGCAAUGCUUUUCACUCUCGGGAUUCCAGAGAGUUGUUAUACCGGUCAGUUGUUCAUGCAUCUGGAACACCCUUGGCUUGUAUGAGUUAUUCCCUUGGGACUGGCUGGCAUGUGCCAAGUUGUCCUUGGCUAUGGCAAGGGAAGGAGAGCGGCUCCUCCACUUCGUCAGGUGUCCGGUGGGCUCUUGUCUGUAUGUUUCCCCAGGGAUCUCCAGCGGUUGGAGGUUCCUGGUUAGUAAUGGAGCUGAUACAUCUCAUCAACAAGGAUGUGCAGACACUAAGAUGAACAGAGAAGCAAACCUACUUACUCAGAUAGCUUCAAGUUAUAUUUGUUUUCCUCUCAAUGGUUUACUCAUUAAAAGUUGAGUUCCUGUGCCAAUGUUGGCAGUACACGAGGCAUGGACAUUCUCUCCGCAGACAAUUGCUGGUGGUCUGAGUGACUCACCCUACACUCUCACCUCCUCCUGGUUCUGCCCUUGGCGCCUGGUCUUGGGAGGUUUGCAUUCUUGUAGUAAUCUCGGGCUGCUGCCCGGGGCCAGGGGCAAAAACAACAGGACUCUCUCCAGGGCAUUUGGGAGUGAGCCUCAUUGUCUGGUCCUUGCUUUGACUGUUGAUUGCAUGAGGCUUGGGGGAGGGUUUCCCAAAUAAGGAGACUGGAGCGGCCUCUUGGUUGGGGAUGCUCCUGACCUCCUCAGCAGUGGGCUGGAAAUAUUUACAUAGACACAUUUCACAUUUUAUCUGUCCUUUGGCUGGGCAUGUAGAACAUUCCAGCUAUACUAACUUCUUUCACUUCUGCCCUUUAUCCAUAGUAAAGCCAGGUCGAGGCACUGAUACUUGAUUAGUGACUUUGGCAUUGCUUGCACACCUUGUUGUGCCAGGAACACACUAAAGAUGGAUUUGACAAGAAGCAGAGGUCGUGGGCGGGGAGGCUCUGACAGCUCCCAGAGGAGCUGCCUAGGGGGUUUUGUCAGGACAGCUCCUCCUCCUCUACAGCUUUGCCGUGUUUGUGUGGGAGUUCAGUUCAACAACAACUGUGGAAGCACCUACUCCAUAGCAGGCACCAUUCCUAAGUGGCUACGGGGGAUACCAAGGCUAAUGGAAUUCUGUCUUUGCCUUCAAAGAGCUCGGAAUCUUGUUGGGGGAUCUGACUCCAGGAAGCUCUUCAGGUGGUCUUUGAAGACACUUGCUCCAAAUGGAAAUUUCCAGGAUGCCAAAUAAGAAGGUUCCCCACAUUCUAUGAAUGCCAAGAGUGUGCAAAGCUCCCACCCGGGGUGCAGGUGCUUGGGCCCGCCCCCAGGUCCGUCAUUCCCAGUCUGUGGCUCUCCACCAUAGCAGCGGGAGAUGGUCCAGGACAACCCAUUAUCUCCAGCCUCCAGUGGAUCUGCAGCCCACAUUUGUGUUCGUGGAACUUAAGGAGGAGAGAAUUGAAGAAGAGGCAGCAAGACGUGUCUUUGGUGACCCAGAGGGGCAGAGAAUAUAAACCACACCAUGCAGUGUUGACCAGGGCAAGCGCAUGCCCUUGAGACUCCAUGAAGGUCAAGGAUGCCUGUUGUACUAUAAGCCAUUGUAUGUGACAGAAAUGGGAAACCCAGCUGCAGAAUGACAGUGAAUGCUUUUCCUCUAUUUUUAUUUAAAAGCUAACACAUCAGGUAAAUAUUUAAGCAUUAUGAACAGUCUAGGGAAAGGAAAGAGGUGCAUAAAUGUAUCUGUUUUUUCCUUUAGCAAAUGAGAACAUUAUGUGUAUUCUCCAGCAAUCUUUUUGCUCUUCUGGUAUGAAAGAGAGGGAUGAUCCUGGAAGGUUGAGGGACCUGGGAUGGGGGCAGAGCUGACACUUGGAGUUCUCUGAAGUAACCAUUUACUUGAAUCUUGUUGAAUGGAUGAGGAAGCGCAGGCUCCAAGAUGUUGUCCAUGGGCGGCAGAAGAGAAGGUGGAUGUCAUUUGACUUAGAAUUUGAACUCAAGCAUAUCAGGUGCCUAAGCCGAGCUUUCCCCACUCCUCCGUCCUCACUCUCGUCCUCUGAGGUCACUGGGAUGAAGACUGAGCCGCAGGCAGGACCCUGCACUCAAAUGCGUAGCCUAGGAGGCAGCACAGGGAGUGUUCGCACUUCGGUGGGGAGAGGGAAAUCACACAGGAAGUGAUGGGGGUUCUGUUCUCAGUGCUGAGAAAGGAGGGCGGGUGCGCAGUGACAGGGGAGCUGCUGCAGGGUAGGGCCCAAGACCCUUGGCAUGGGUCGGGAUGGCAGACUCCGAUGGGAGCCCAUAGCUGGAGCUGGUCAGCGUGUUGGGAGAAUGGUUCCCACCUUCUAAACAGCUCCCCUCUACUGUGGGAAAUGCAUUUCCUGUGCCUCAGACAUCAGAUGGGGCUUUCCUGGCCGGCUCUCCCUGAGCCCUGGGUGAACGCUGGAGCAAAGCCAGCCAGAGGACGCAGCCCUCCUGGCUUCUGUGGGGUUUUACCGUGUCCAUGGGGCUGAAUUGGAGACAACCAGAUGCCUACCUGAGAUUUUUUUUUUCCUCCAAGGGACAGCAGAGAGGAUUUGUAGCUUCUGCUCUGAGGAGGGGGCUGUGGGCUGGUGUUGUUGGCAGCCAUUUUGCUUUUUCCAUAAGCGGCCUUGUGUAGGGGCCAGUGCCGUGGCAUAGUGGGUGGAGUCUCCACCUGCGAUGCCAGCAUCCCUUAUGGGUGCUGGUUCGUGUCCCGGCUGCUCCACUGCCAGUCCAGCUCUCUGCUAGUGACAGGGGAAAAGCAGCAGCAGAUAGCCCAACUGCUUUGGUCCUUGCACCCAUGUAGGAGACUCGGCUGAAGCUCCUGGCUCCUGGCUUAAGCCUGUUGUGGCCAUCUGAGGAGUCAACCAGUGGAUGGAAGAUCUGUGUGUGUGGUUGUCUCCUUCUCUCUCUGUAACUCUGCCUUUCAAAUAAAUAAAUCAAUCUUAAGAAAAAUACAUUCAUGCAUAUGAAUGAUGGUGAAUUACUGAGCUUUCCUGAGCUUUUUUCUUGUGCAUUUUUAAAAAUUUAUUUUAUUUUAUUUGCAAGACAGAGUUAUAGAGAGAGGUAGAGGCAGAGAGAGAGAGGUCUUCCAUCUGCUGGUUCACUCCCAGAUGACUGCAAUGGCCGGAGCUGCGCCGAUCUGAAGCCAGGAGCCAGGAGCCAGGAGCCAGGAGCUUCUUCCGGGUCUCCCACGUGGGUGCAGGAGCCCAAGGACUUGGGCCAUCUUCUGCUGCUUUCCCAGGCCACAGCAGAGAGCUGGAUCGGAAGUGGAGCGGCCGGGCCUAGAACUGGCGCCCAUAUGGAUGCUGGCGCUUCAGGCCAGGGCUUUAACCUGCUGCGCCACAGUGCCGGUCCCGUUGUGCUUUUUAAGUGUUCUACAUGCGACUGUGAGUUUGGUUUCUGAAGCGAUAAUCUGUGUGGCGUCUCUGUUUCUCUGGGUUGCUGCAGAGUCACGUGCAUCCUGAGUGUGGCCAAGCCCUCCUGCUUCGGGAAUUGUCUCUGUCACCUACAGAAGCAGCCCCAGGGGACCUUGCUGCUGGCUCUCUGACGUUUCACUUGGCAGUGACACGUUUUCCUCGCGUGUGGAACAGUUCUGCCUUCUGCUGUCCACCUUCACUCCCUGCCCUCAUCAAUCUGAAAUGCAGUGGUAAUAGUCUGUUGGGUGGGCUUUCAUUCCGCCUUUUAUGUUUUCACUCAACCAUUUCCCUAGAACCAAGCGAGCAAAUGUUCUGCACGGGGGCUUCAAGCGCGGUGGCUCAGAGGGCUUGGACAGAGGCAGUGAGUCGGGGACAGCGGAUGCCAGUGAGCCCUCUACCUGUGCCCAGACCUCCUGAUAAUCCAGGAACUCCCACGGAGGGGAUGCCACAGGUGGUGGUGCAGAGCCAGCAGCUGCUUUGUCUCCGGAUUUUAUUUUAUUUUUAAAGAUGUACUUAUUUAUUUGAGAGAGAUAGAGACAGAGAGACAGAGACAGACAGAGAAUCUUCCAUACCCAAAUGGCCUCAAUAACCAGGACCAGGCCAGGCUGAAGCCAGGAGCCAGGAGCCAGGAGCCAGGAGCCAGGAGCCAGGAGCCAGGAGCUGUCUUUUUUUUUUUUUUUUCCCCCAAACACGAAUGACCACAGCUUAGAUGUUAAGCAGGUGUGGGUGCGUCACAGCAGUGGAAGGCUGUGAACAACAUAGAGAACUCAUGUUUGCAUCCUGCACGAGCUCUCUCGAGCGUCCAAGCAGGAAGGGACCCAGGGAGCUCCUAGUCCGAGGCACUCAGACUGUGCCCCCGGGUCCCUGGGCUUCCCUGCAGGUGCUUCUGGGUCUUCCUGGGGAGGAUGGAGGGAAGCCAGACGGAGGGUUCUUUUCCAGCCAGAUCACCUCCAGUUUCAUAUGAGCUCUCUCUGAGCUUGGUACUCUUGUAACAGUUAAUUCAGGAUGAGAAGAUGGGAAAGGUGUAUGCUGUCAAAUUAGGUUUAAAAUUACUUGUUGAGUCAAAAUUCAGUUUCACAAUCACCUGUCUAUUCAGACACUCUUAUUCUAUCAUAAGGAAGCUGACAUCCAUCAAAGUCCAAAGUGGUAGACAACAACUGAGUUUUCCAGCACCCUCUCUUCCUGUUUUCACUAUAUUGUCAUUAGGCAUAACAAUUAGUGCUCUGUUUCCUCAGAGAGAAGGAAUUUCUGCCACUCAUCUCUGCAAGACUAGAUCUCUUUGGAACAACUCACUAACCACACAAUGCAAUGGGCUCUGGGCCCCACUCACAGAGAAGAAGUUAGAAUAAAGCCCCAAAUUCCAGAGAUCUGUGGGCUUCAGGUUUGGCUCGAUCUGGGCUCUCAUUCUCUUCCAUGGGUUAACUUAGUCUGGUUCCCCACAUGACAGUUACCUGUGGAGACAAGCAUGAGAAUCAUGAAAUAACCCUUCCCUUUGCUCUGAUUGGAAUAUCCAUGAACUGACAAUUGUUCAAGCUCUCUUUGCUUCGGAGGACAGCUGCCGUGGGUGGGUUCUCGCUGUCUGCUUAUUCGCGGUUUUAACAGUCUCUUUCACUUAGCUGUCUCCUAUGAGCUAGUGCCACUUUCCUUACUUUUGUAUCCCUCCUUUAUUGGUAAAGCAUUACCCGAGUUCUUUCUUCUAUGGCCUCCUGAGUCCAGGGUUCCACAAUUAUGUCCCCUUAGUACUGACUCCAGAUUGGACUUUGUUCACCUGAAAACCCGAGUGGAAAUAGCUCAGGUUUUGCAGCCUUCUUCAAAGAGACCUGAAAAUUGUGGUCUUCGUGUCUUCUACUCGAUGAGGCUGAGGUUCUCUUCUGUCUGCAGCAUUUUUUUUUUUAAAGAUUUAUUUGUUUAUUUGAAAGUCAGAGUUACAGAGAAGCAGAGAGAGAGAGUGAGAGCGAGAGCGAGAGUGAGCAAGCGAGAGAGAUCUUCCACCUGCUGGUUCACUUCCCAGAUGGCUGAAAUGGUCAGGAAUGGGCCAGGCUGAAGCCAGGUCCCUGGAGCUUCCUUCACAUGGGUGCAGGGGCCCAAGUACUUGUGCCAUCUUCUGCUGAUUUCCCAGGCCUUAGCAGAGAGCUGGAUGGGAAGUGGAGCAGCCGGGACUCAAACUGGUGCCCACUGCAGGCAGCAGCUUUACCGCUAUGCCACAGCGCCCACUCCUCUGCAGCAGUUUUGACCAUCCUCUGUGGACGACUGAGACAGGGAGGUGACUGAGACAGUGAGUCAGGGAUGCACAGAAGCGUGAAGAGCCCGAGAGUGCGCUGAGGCUGCUCCGAGCAGUGAAUGUCAACAUGUCUCUGGCCUCAAAUACUGUGUUUGCAGCUCCUCUGCAUCUCCGGCCGGGGGGAGGGGAGAGGGGGUCUGGUCCAGACAGCAAGCUUUUGGACCAUCCUUGAGCUUUCUCUUUUGUCUGGAGUAGUAGCAGUCCCUUGGAUCUAAAUGGGCUGUGUCUUUGCUUCUAAGGACAAGGCACAGGGAAAAGCUGGCCUGGGGCUGGUGCCGCGGCUCAAUAGGCUAAUCCUCUGCCUGCGGUGCUGGCACACUGGGUUCUAGUCCCGGUUGGGGCACCGGAUUCUGUCCCGGUUGCCCCUCUUCCAGGCCAGCUCUCUGCUAUGGCCAGGGAGUGCAGUGGAGAUGGCCCAAGUGCUUGGGCCCUGCACCCCAUGGGAGACCAGGAGAAGCACCUGGCUUCUGGUUUCGGAUCGGCGCAGUUCCCCAGCUGCAGCGCGCCGGCCGCGGCGGCCAUUGGAGGGUGAACCAAUGGCAAAGGAAGACCUUUCUCUCUGUCUCUCUGUCUCUCACUGUCUAACUCUGCCUGUCCCAAUAAAUAAAUAAAUAAAUAAAUAGCUGGCCUGGGGGAAAGGAACACGUCCAUAGGUGUGAGAUGGUGAGGACGGGGUGGGGGUGAGGGGAGAAAAAAGGCUGAGAGCGGCCCCAGCAGAGGACUUUGCAGUGUCUAGCUCCCUAGGGUGUAUCAGGAGAGGAUAAAGGGGAAAGGGAGACAGACUGAGCCUCUUGGAGGGUUUUGAGGAAUAUCUCACUCAAAACAUGACCCAGUUGUAAUUUUAUUUGCAGGAUGUUAAACCAAUAAAUCAAAAGAAGGAAAACAAUAGAAGCAACAGUUUGUAUAGCAGUGUGUAUAAAUCUGUAGCGAAUACUGUAUUUGCUGUAAUAGCAGAAAUGAAAAGCACUCUGAAUGUUCAAGGACAGAGAAACCAUAAAGCAAGCCGGGCCAUCAGCACAAUGCAGUCUUAAGGGAUCUGCUGUGUGAAAGAAUGAGGUCUCUUAGAAGCCUGUGGAGGCUUACAGAGGUCUCUAGCCCUAAGUGCCUGUGUGAACUUGCAUUUGAAUGAAUUGAAAUGAGAUAAGAUAAAAAAUGCAGUUCCUCAGUGGCCCAGCCCCACUUCAAGUGCUCCCGAGCCACACGGUGGCCAGCAGCUACCAUCCUAGCAGGAGUGGCGAGCAUUUUUGUCAUCACAGGAAGUUUUAUUGGCCAGGCCUGCUCUGGAAGGCUGGGCAAGUGUUCACACAUGGCUGUCGCAAUGAAACAAAAAAGUUAUAUGGCAAGCAGCACGUGUGCUGAUUAUAGCAAUGUAAAAUGUAUGCAUCCGCGUAGAUAAAGAUCAGUCAAGAUCAGGAAGCAUUAAGAUUCUUGCUACCAGGGAAAUGAACUCACAAGAUGGAUCUACAAGUUUCCUCUUCGUGUGGUCCAGAGUUCCAUUGCUGACACACCAAGUUCUGGGGAGCAGCCUGCAGGAAGCCAGUUGUAUCUGCAGAUCCUGGGCUAAACAGAGAAGGCAUCUGCUGGCUCUGUGUGCUUGCAGAGUCCCGCCAAGGCACUUGGCUUCUUUUGUUGCAUGGUCUCCCAGGUCCCUUCCUACGUGAAGAAACGGCAGUGCUUGUUUUCACGCAGAGAGAAUGCUGCUCACGGGAAUGGAGUGACAGGAAUGAGGUGUCGGGUAGUGGGGUGAUCAGCAGGGUCUGGUGACCGCAGUAGAGCCUGGGCUCCAAUGGCAGAUUCCAGGGAUGAAGGCGAAGUGGACGGGAUCCUCAGGAAGGGAGAAUCUGACCAGUGAUAAAAUGGAGAAUUUGUAUUCCAGACACCCAAGGCCUACCAGGAAUAUGCAUCUCUGUUUAUAGAAUGCUAAAAAUGACUUUUGCUGGCAUUGUGGCACAGCAGGUUAAGUGAAGCAAGCAUCCCGUAUCAGAGCCAGUUUGAGUCCCAGUUGCUCUGCUUUUUUUUUUUAUUUAAGAUUUAUUUUUAAAUAAAUAAUUUUUUAAAGAUUUAUUUUUAGGGCCGGUGCCGCGGCUCACUAGGCUAAUCCUCCGCCUUGCGGCGCUGGCACACCGGGUUCUAGUCCCGGUCGGGGUGCCGGAUUCUGUCCCGGUUGCCCCUCUUCCAGGCCAGCUCUCUGCUGUGGCCAGGGAGUGCAGUGGAGGAUGGCCCAAGUGCUUGGGCCCUGCACCCCAUGGGAGACCAGGAGAAGCACCUGGCUCCUGGCUUCGGAUCAGCGCGGUGCGCCGGCCGCAGCAUGCCAGCCGUGGUGGCCAUUGGAGGGUGAACCAAUGGCAAAGGAAGACCUUUCUCUCUGUCUCUCUCACUGUCCACUCUGCCUGUAAAAAUAAAUAAAUAAAUAAAUUGUCGCUCCCCCUCUUCGUGGAGGAGCAACACUAAACCCUGCCUAGGCUUCAUAUCCGAGUCACGGCACCAUUAUGUCGCUCCCCCUCUUCAUGGAGGAACGACACAGGACCCUGCGCUGUUCUUUCGUCUGCUCGGCCCUUCCCGGGUUUGCUGCUGGUUCUUCCCGGGUUGGCUACCGACCCUUCCACCUCCGUGGAAGGGCGGUUCCCCCUGGCCACUUUCCCCACUUCCGCAGGGGAGCAGCACACCGCUGGCCGGCUCUCUCGGGGGUUGCACAGGUGUUCCCCUUAGAUGUUCCCCUUAGAUGUUCCUGGUGCAUGCCGUCUCUCUCCUCCUUUAUAGUCCUCCUCCGCCAAUCCCAACUCGGCUGCCCACACGCCGAGUACGCUGCUCUCCUCCAAUCAGGAGCAAGUCCUACAGUUUAUUGGCUGAACUGGAGGCAGCUGUGUAGAAGCUGUUUUCUUCUCUCCCAGCGCCAUAUUGUGGGAGAGCAGAUGCAUAGAAUAAGUCUUAAUUCCAGUAACAGUCUAGUCCGAGUUGCUCCCCACAAUAAAUAAAGAUUUAUUUUUAUUUAUUUGAAAGAGUUAGAAAGGUAGACAUAGAGAAAAGUCUUCAAUCCACUGGUUCACUCCCCAAAUGGCUGCAAUGGCUGGAGCUGCGCCCAUCUGAAGCCAGGAGCCAGGAGUUUCUUCCGGGCCUCCCACAUGGGUGCAGGGGUCCAAGGAUUCGGGCCAUGUUCUUCUGCUUUCCCAGGCCACAGCAGGGAGCUGGACUGGAAGUGGAGCAGCUGGGACUCGAACUGGCACCCAUAUGGGAUGCCAGCACUUCAGGCUGGGGCUUUAACCCGCUGCACCACAGCGCUGGCCCCUGCUCUGCUUUUGAUCCAACUCCCCUAAUGGACAGCAGCAGCAGAUGGCCCAAGUACCUGGGCCCCUGCCGCCCAUGUGGGAGACCCGGAUGAAGCUCUAGGCUCCUGGCUUCAGACUGGCCCAGCCCUGGCCAUUGUGCGCAUUUGGGGAGUGAACCAGCAGAUGGAAGAUCUUUCUCUCUUUUUCUCUCUCCUUCUCUCUCUCUCUCUCUGAUGCUCUGCUUUUCAAAUAAGUAAAACAAAUUUUUAAAGAUAGAAGAUGACUUUGAACUGUACCUAGGUGCACCUGGAAAUGGAGCAGAGAAGGUCCCAGCUCUGUCUGGGUCCUCAGAAACCCCACCCCCUCCUCCUCCGGCGGCUGUAGUUACAGGUGGGUCACUAAAUGCCCUCCCGCUGGCUCCUUAGUAUCGCUCUGGAGUAGAGCAAGUCUUUCAUUUGUUCCACUACUUUUCAGGUGUCAGAUCAUAAAAUCAUACUUCUUGAAAAUCACUUAUUCCAGAACAUUUCCUCUGCGAAUGGAUUUUACAGUUACAGCAUUUUAUCUAAAUCAUUUCACAUGUCUUUUUCAAGUUUGAAGACUUCUUUAUAUACUUUUCUGUUAAACAUUGCACGGGGAAAUGUUUCUACUAAAUAAUGCUAUCGUCCACCUUAUGAUUUCUGAUGUGUAACAAAGACAUUCACCUGCCUUUGAGAUGGAUCAUAUGUAUGGCAGAGGGCUUUGCUGUUUAUACUUUUGUUGCACACUUAAAUGAUGCCAAUCUCUUCUGGUAAAACCUUUUAGUAAUGCAAAAAAUAAGCAUGAGGUGUGUGUGUGUGUGUGUGUGUGUGUGUGUCGCGCGCGCGCGCCCAAACUACAGCUUCACUGGAUAAUGAGCUACUUACUCUCUGCAUGCCUUGUGGGAAAUCAACAUUGCAAAUUCAUAGACCUGUCUGCCAGGAAUCUUAGAACCAAGUGGACAUGUGUGUUGAUCAUUUCUGGAUAGCUCCCAAAUUAGAAGGAUAUUGGGUCCCAGAAGUGUGUUUUAAAGCCAAUGGCACAGAACUCAAAAAGCUGUUUCAUUAUAGAAGUUAUAUAUGUUUAGUAUACACCCUCCCAAAGCAAUGGGCUCUCUGGAUGUAACUGCAUUUAGUGUAGUUUAACUCAGUUUACCAAUACACUCAUGGCUUACCUUGUCGGGAACUAGAAUUGGAAAAUGCGCAAGGUGUUCCUUGCUCUCAGGCAGCCCAGAGUCUUGUAGGGAAGGCACGUGGUAAGCACGUGACUGCCAGCAGGCACAGCCAUGUGCAGCAGCUCCGGAGUCUCCAUGGAGGGCACCCUCCAUGUGUGCCGACACGGCCUGGACUCACUGUCCAUGAUGGAGCUCUGACAGAGGAAGAAGAAGGAUCUGUCUCUUCCUCUUCCCAUCUGCUGAGUGGGGAAUGCUGAGUAACACCAGCUCCACGGCCCAGAGCAAAAGACAAAUGACUUGUCAAACCAGGACUUCCUGCCAGGGCCGCUCUGUGGGCUGGCUUCCUGCUUCUUCCUUUCCAGGAAGGCCAGCUUGAUCUUCUUCCACUGACACCACCAGUGAUGACUUUUUUUUUUUUUUUUCCAUCCUGGCUCCUUGUGCAUUUGAGAGUAGCCCAAGGAACCCAUUCAGAGCUUCUCACUGCCCGAGGGAUGAAAACCUAACCUCCCUUGUGGACUGUUCGGCAGCCACCCCUCAGGCAUCCCCACAGCCUUCUGGCGUGGUUCCUAGACAUGCCACACCCCAGUCUUUCCACCAAUCUCCUGGACACAACAGUCAGCCCUCCAUGAAGAUAUCACCCAGGAGUCCCACAUCUGUAGAGUCCACAAACUGGAUCAGAGACAUUGUGGAAGAACAAACGCAGGUGCACUGGACAUAUGUGGGUUUCAUUUUCUUGUCAUUAUUCCCUAGACAAUACAGUGUCACACCUAUUCAGGUAGCGUAUGAGAUAGUAUAAGUAGUGUAGUCUAGCGAUGACUGAGUGUAGUAGGAGAAUGCGUGCACGUUGUGUGCAAGUUUUAUGCCAUUUUAUGUGAGGGACCUGAGCAUCAUGGGUUUUGGUAUCCUGGAGGGAGUCUGUAAUGAAGCCCCUGGGGUACCCAGGGACAGCUGCAUCCUCUUCCUCUGGCUGCUCGCACUCUCCCUGCCACGCUGGGCCUGCUGGGAAGGGCAGUCUUCGUUUUCUCAGGGGGAGACGAGGUGCUCCCAGAUGACGGAGGACCCCCUGAGCUUAGCGCUCAUCGACUUCAGAGUGACUGUGCCCUUCGCUGCAUCCCCCUGUGAGUUGCAGAGGGAGGGCACAGCCCACAUCUGCUGGCUCAGCAGACACGACUGUACUCCUAGGACCUGGCCAUGCUCUGCUGCACGCAGAGCCAGCCGCACGGCUGGGGGCCUGUGCAGUCACACGGGGAGUCACACUCAGAAAGGCGGGGUUAGUGCCGUCACCAUCUAGAAAAUGCUUAGCUUUUGCUCAAAAGCCCUCAUAUUCUCAUUUUGCACUGACCCUCACAUAUUAUGAAACUGAUUCUAUGUGGCAGAAUAAAUAAAGAGUGGAGGUAUAUAUUUACAUAUAUAUAUAUCAGACCAUAAAAUAUGCUGAAUUAAACAAUUAAGGCUUCUGAAGUUGUCAUUUUAAACAAGAUAAAAUGAUUUAGGAAAAAAUUGCAAUAUAGGCUAUAGACGUCAUAAUGUUCUGUUUUUCAGAUGUUGUUUGUUCAUGUGAGAAAAGAGAAUCCACUCUAUGUGAUGUAUUUUGAAUCAGAAUUACACCUUAUUCAAUCACAACCAUUAUGACUGAAAAAACAGAGUGGCUGGCGCUGUGGCAUAGUGAGUAAAGCUGCUACCUGUAGUGCAGGCAUCCCAUAUGGGUGCCAGCUCAAGACCUGGCUGCUCCUCUUCCAAUCCAGCUUUCUACUAUGGCCUGGGAAAGCAAUAGAAGAUGGUCCAAUUGUCCACCUGCAUGGGAGACCCGGAAGAGGCUCCAGGUUCCUGGCUUCGGAUCAUCCCAGGUCUGGCCAUUGUGGCCAUUUGGGAAGAUCUCUCUCUCUCUGCCUCUGCCUCUCUCUAACUCUGUCUUUCAAAUAAAUAAAUCUUUAAAAACAAAACAAAACAGAAAAUGGGGCCAGAAUGAUUUAGUUUGACAUGUGCUUCACUCAUUAUAAUUGGAAAGACAGACAUAACUUCUUCAAAAAGAAAUUCUGCAAAUAGUAAAUGCUGCCUAGGUUUCUACCUUGAUAGGGUGAAUGAAUAUCAUUGGGGCCAGGUGCUGUGGCGCAGUAGGUUAAUCCUCCACCUGUGGCACUGGUAUCCCAUAUGGACGCCGGUUCUAGUCCUGGCUGCUCCUCUUCCAAUCCAGCUUUCUGCUGUGGCCUGGGAAAGCAGUAGGAGAUGGCCCAAGUGCUUGGGCCCCUGCACCCAUGGGAGACCAGGAAGAAGCUCCUGGCUCCUGAUCGUGCAGCUCUGGCUGUUGUGGCCAUUUGGGGAGUGAACCAACAGAAGGAGGACCUUUCUCUCUGUCUCUCCCUCUCCUGUCUGUAACUCUACCUCUCAAAUUAAAAAAAAAAAGAAUAUCAAUGGAUAUUCACAUGAAUCAUGGGGCUGAUGCUACAGCACAGCUGAUUAGGCCACCAUCUGCAGUGCCAGCAUCCCCUAUGGGCACUUGUUCCCAUCCUGGCUGCUCUUCUUCUGAUCCAGCUCCCUGCUAAUGCGCCUGGGAAAGCAGUGAAAGAUGUCCUAAGUCCUUGGUCCCUUGCACUUAAGUGGGAGACCCAGAAGAAGCUCCUGUCUCCUGGCUUUAGAUCAGUGCAGCCCCAGCCAUUGUGGCCAUUUGGAGAGUGAGCCGGCAGAUGGAAGAUCUCUCUUUCUCUCCCCCUACCUUUGUAACUUUGUAUUUCAAAUAAAUAAAUAAAUCUUAAAGAAAAUUAGUCUCAAAGGGAAAGUAUGUGGGUUAUGGAGCUUCUAUUCUUGAUACCAAGAAUGACAUUCAAAAGGGUAUUUCUGGGCUUUGAGUUUUUUUUUUUUUUAAAGAUUUAUUUACUUACUUGAAAGGCAGAGUUACAGGAGAGGCAGAGGCAGAGGCAGAGGCAGAGAGAGAGAGAGAGAGAGAGAGAAAGAGAUGUCUUCCAUCCACUGAUUCACUCCACAAAUGGCUGCAAUGGCCAGAGCUCUGCCAAUCCGAAGCCAAAAGCCAGGAGCUUCUUCCAGGUCUCCCACGUGGGUGCAGGGGCCCAAGCACUUGGGCCAUCUCCUACUGCUUUCCCAGGCCAUAGCAGAGAGCUGGAUUGGAAGUGGAGCAGCCAGGACUCAAACUGGUGCCCAUAUGGGAUGCUGGCACUUCAGGCAGCGGCUUUACCCACUAUGCCACAGUGCCGGCCUGGCUUUGGGGUUUUAAACUCUCCAAAGAGAUCUUCUGGGAAGCUGUGUGACAGCAGUCCGGGGAGUCCAGUCAGUCUGGGCUGCGGUGACAAAAUACCGCAGAAACCAGGCUGGAGGCUGCAAGGCUGAGACCUGGCACCAGCACAGGCCGUGUCUGAGGAGGGCCCCCUCCUCCCAGACAGCAGCUUGUCGCCGCGUCCUCCGUGGUGGGAGGCAUGGUGGCCUUCCCUCAGUCUCUUGUAGGGACACGGAUCCCAUUCACGAGCGCUCCACCUGCCGGACCUCAUCACCCGCUGAUGACCUGGCUUCCGGUACCACUCAGCCUGUGAGGUGGGGGGCAGAGGGGGCGACCCGUCAGACCAUAGCGGCGCAUCCUGAUUGAUGUGUCAGCGUCUCAGAGCCACCGCCGCCCUCUUUAGCAAGGGGACAGUGACCGUCUCUGUCACCUUUGAUGGACUGUGGGGAGGACAGCACAGGUCAGGGAGGACAGUGGGAAAGUGAGUUCCAGCACAGUGGGGCCUGGGAAUCCCUGCCAUUUGGGAAGUGGAAUGUUCCUCCGUUCUGUGAAUCAGGGGACCAGAUCCAGUCAAGACAAGCCGAUCGCCUGCUGCAUGAUUUGCCUACCCCAGGCCUCAGCUUUAUUGUCUGAGAAGCAGGACGUGGAUAAUGGGGGGGCUGUCUCUCCAGCACCCCCACCCCACUGCAGCAGCUUCCCUUCCCUGCUCCCAGCAGCGUGGAACCUCCUUCCUGAUGUCUUGCACGGGCCAUGCUGUGGUCUUCGUUCCUGUGUCCUGAUGAAUACGCUCCCCCCACCCCCAUUUCCUUGAUUCCUCUCCCUAACGCCGAUUCUCCCUGCAGGAGCUAAACUCCACCCUGCAGAAAGCCUUCUGUGGCUGUGCCCUCUGCAUUCUGCCCAGCCGAGCUUCCAGACCCUCGUGUGUUCCCACAGCCUGUGCUUUGCUCCGUCCUAGUUCCCUGUACACUGGACGGUCAGCGGCUGUUUCUUGUUUGUUGCCCAGGAGUCUCAGGGGUCUUGGAGGACUCCACCUCUUCAACAUCUAGGACAGUCACUGGGACAUAAGUGUUCAAUUACUACUUGAGGGAGGAACGAGGGAGGAUGGAAGGCCUUAUUCUCCCUCAGUUGUCCUUUAAUUUUUUUAGGAAGAUUUAUUUUAUUUAUUUGAAAGGCAGAGUUAGAGAGAGACAGAGAGAGUCCGACAGACAUGUAGAGAGAGGCCUUCCGUUUGCUGGUUCACUCCCUAAAUGGCUACAAUGGCCAAGGUUGGGCCAGGACAAAGCCAGGAGUCAGCAGCUUCCUCCAGGUCCCCCAUAUGGGUGCAGGGACCUGGGCCAUCCUCUGCUGCUUUCCCAGGUGCAUUAGCAGGGAGCUGGGUCAGAAGUGGAGCAGCUGGGACACGACCCGGCGGCCAUAUGGGAUGCUGGCAUUGCAGGCGGUGGCUUAACACGCUACACCACAGCAGCAGCCCCGCAGUGGUCUUUCAUAAAGCAAGGCACAGUGGAUAUGGAGGGAGGGCCAAGUGGUGGAGAUUUGGGCUGGUGGGGGAAAGGUCUGACUGCUGCUCAGACGGUGCCUCUGCUGGGCUGGGACUCCAGCUAGCCUGACUCAUGGUAUAAUUGCGGAGAGUAGCAACAGGAAGCAUCAGGAAGCUCCUUAGGGUUUAUGGACUUCCUCUGCAUUUGCCAGGAUCUCCAUAUCCCAUGUUAAUGGUUUGGCAGUGGGCAGUGGAGGAAGGGGUCAUUUCUCCCGCUCCGUGGAGCUGCUGCAAGGUUGCCUGAGUGCAGAGGCUUGAUCUCCCGGCUUGGCUGGAGAGCGGUGCCACCGUGGAGGUCACGUGCUCAGCAGACAGUGCUGGUGCUGGCCCAGGAACGCUGCAGCCAUACACGGGCUUGGCCUCGGGAGCUCACAGAGAGCCGGACAUAGCAGGGCAGUGGGACGACAAUGAGGCGACCUUCCCCCUUGGGAUCCAAACAGCCAAAUAAGCCCAAUCCUUGCUUUUCCAGAAGUGCAGAUGUCAAGGUGAUAUUAGAAAUGUCUUCAUGAAUUGAAUCCUUUUCACAUACAUCAUCUUCAGACCUCAUAGAAGCUCAUGAGUUAAGUAUGAGGGUAUUUCAAAAAGUUCAUGGCAAAACUGAAUUAAAAGAUAAGGUUAAGGGUGAGCAUGUAGCCUAGUGGUUAUGGUUCCUGUUAAGAUGCCCACAGCCUGUGGGUGUUGGUGGUGGCUCAAGUGAUUGGGUUCUUGCCAGCACAUGGGAGACCCCGCCAUCGUAGGCAUUUGAGAAGUAAACCUGUGUACAGGGGAAAUCAUCUUUUUCUUUCUCUCCAUGCCUCUCAAAUAAGUAAUAAUUAGUUAAUUUUAGAGAGAAAAAUGUUUGGAUUUUGAUGCAAAAAAAUUUUAAAUCUUGUGUAGUUUUUUUAGAUUAAAUAUUUUUCCAGGAAAUUUUUGAAGACCCUUUGUAUGCAUGGAUUUAAAAAACUUUGCAGCAAAAAUAAACCUAUCUUUUUGCUUCCAUUUUUCAUGAACUUUCAACAGUACCUUCAUAUAAUUGUGUUCUUUUCAGGAAAGAAAAGUUGGGUUUAGGGAAGUUAAGUCGUUUGCUUCAAGUCUCCCAAUUUUCCGGGGUGUCUUGGGGCCAGCACCGUUCAGAUCAUCCUUCUCUACACAGCUCUGCUCAGGGAUCACCCAUCUUCCAGGAGGAUUCAUGCUGAAGAAGCUGAUUCUAAGGCUCUCUCACACCCUGAAGUGCCUUUGAAACGAUCAAAGAGCAAGUUGGACUCAAUACACUGAAAUCAUAAGUGCAUGUUUUGCUUUUUGAUUCUUUGAAAAUUAGACUUCUGUGGAAGGCACGUGACAUGGUAGCAGCAGGCCUGGGCGUAAAGGCUGGGAGCUACAGCCCACGACGGGGGACUUGGAAAGAGAGCUUGAACUUGAUGUUCCCCUGGAAAAAUAGGAAGCCUCGGACCCUUCCAGAUGCCUUAGUAGGAUUUUUUGGUCUGGCUCCACUUUAUGGGAGUCCUGUGGACGCAAACGGAGAACUCCAUUACGCAUGCGAAAAGCUGAGACCAACCUUCUGGCCUCAGCUGCAACACCAAACACAGCACACAGCCCCUCACCUCCACCACACCUCAGAGCCUGAAAGUGACAUUCUUGACAAACUUAUCACACGUGAAAUCUGCUGCGCACACCAGUGAAUCGUGCCAGCAAGCCAGGUGUAACCAAAUCAGAUCUUUCAGCCUUGACUUCCAAGUGUGAGAACAAGGAGGUGCUGACGUAGGGGAACUGCAGCCCACGUGCCGUGCACCUGCCCUUUCAGACAGUGUGGAGCAUCGCUGGGGCCGCAGGCUGGAAUGAGGAGGCUCUGGGCCCGGUGACCAUCCGAGGUCUUGGGGACAGGCUUAGGGGAAGUCUGCUGGUGUUGAACUUCAGAAUUUCACCUGACUUCGGGGAGCUCCUGAUGGUUUCCUGGCCUUUUCCCUGCAAGAGUGGACGCUGAGUUCUGGUAUGGAUCAUCUCUGGUGCCAGAAAUGGCCUGUAUCCUGGCUGGUGGGACUCACGCCCCAGCUCAGGCCUCAAGCAGCAGCCUUGAUCCCGAUCUUGAACUUGGACUCUUCAUGAAUGCUCCUGGCACAAAGAACCCAGAGAAAGUCAUAGGCCAUGAAAUGACAUGAGAAUUUUGCCCAGGGUAAAAUUAUCUACAAGAAUCAACCUCAGGGCCGACGUUGUGAUGUAGCAGGUGAAGUUACUCUCGGCAUCCUAUGUGGGCCCUGGUUUGAGUCCCGGUUGCUCCACUUCCAAUCCAGCUCCCUACUAUGGCCUGGGAAAGCAGUGGAAGAUGGCCCAAGUGCUUCGGCCUCUGCAUCCCUGUGGAAGAUCUGGAAGAAGCUCCUGGCUCCUGGCUUAGACUGGUCCAACUCUGGCAGUUGUGGCAGAAGUGAGCCAGCAAAUGGAAGAUCUGUGCCCCCCCCCCGCCCCCACCGGCUGCCUCUCCCUCUCUAUGGCUCUUUCAAAUAAAUAAAUAAAUCUCUAAAAAAUAACUCCUGCAUUCUAAAGAGUGACAGAGUACCAGAAGGGUAUAGAAUGGCCACAUUAUAGGUGGAUUUUCUUAACAUUUUUUAAAGAGGUUUGAAUCUGUCCCCUCACUGUUGGAUCAAAGCCAUCACAGUUCUAAGCCAAACAGACUAUUGCUCUGAGCCUCUGCUGUUGUAGCUGAGUGUUUCCUCGACACUAGGCUUUGAGACGACCCUGCUCCUCUGGGAGGCCAUGAACCGGCCCCAUGGUGCUGCAAGCGGGAGGGAGGAGGCCACUUCCCCAUCCUUCGUGGUCAUCAUCCUUCUCCUGCUGAUCUUCUCGGCUGUCUUCAGGACACUGACAUUCAGGUGGCCUCUCUCCACUCUUGCCCUCUUCCCUGUCAGCUCUGUCCUAGGGAUUCUUCCAGAGAUGAAUAAGGCUGUGGCUUAGAGGAGCUACUCAUUCUGGAAUCCCAGGGUCUGGGAUGUGCACUAAGUGGGGCAAGAAUCUCCUGGAGGCUCCAAGCCUCCACUGCCUUUGUCACCCUGGGAAAUCAACAUCCGAGCUCUAGGGCUUCGCCUCUUCCAGUUCCAGGCACCAACUCCUGUCUCCUUUGGCUCUGGGGAAAUCCAGUCCAGCCCCUCCUGUUGGGGCCUUGUCUUCGUUUGCAAGGGCUGUCCUAAGAAAAUACUGGCAACAAGACGGCUUAAACCAUGGAAUUGAUCAUCUCGCAAACCAACCCCAGGGGUGUGAGUUCAAGACGUGUUGGGGCGGGUUCCUUGUGAGGGCUGGAAGGGAAGCGUCUGACCUUGGCCUCUCUGGCCUUUAGAGGGUGGUGGUCUUCUCCCUGUGGCUCUUCAUGGCCUCUUCUCUGUGUCCAAGUGUCCCCUUGUAUAAGGACAUGAGUCUCACUGGCUAAAAUCCUGUUGUAAGAACCUCACUUAACUGCACUGCCUCUGUAAAGACCUCAGCCUCAAUAAUGUCACAGGUGCUAGGGGUUAGGAUGUAAAAAAAUUCAACCCAUGACAGAUGCAAAACAUAGGAUGGGAAGACAAUGGGAGGUCAUAUGUAUAGAAAAAAGUACUUUUAAGAAUAUUAUUAGAUUCUCAGGAAAAUUGAGAAGAUGUUAGAGUUCCAGGCACUGGGCCUGGUGUUCCACAGGGCCCACUUUGGGAAACAGUGCCCUUAUUUGCAUUGUAUCCCAGUGGUCAAGCACCUUAGAUGCCGCCAUGUUGCCUGUGUGACAUGUGACAAUGGGUGAGUUACUUAAUCCCACACUCAUCUGUGAAAUCACAGUAUAUAUAUAUUUUUUAAGAUUCAUUUUAUUUAUUUGAAAGACAGAGUUACAGAGAGAGGUAGAGCCAGAGAGAGAGAAGAAAGGUUUUCCAUCUGCUGGUUCAUUCCCCAAAUGACCACAACGGCCAGAGCUGAGCUGAUCUGAAGCCAAGAAUCAGGAGUUUCUUCCAGGUCUCCCAUGUGGGCCAUCUUCCUUUGCUUUCCCAGGCCGUAGCAGAGAGCUGGAUUGGAAGAGGAGCAGCUGGGACUCAAACCAACGCCCUUAUGGGAUGCCGGCCCUGCAGGCCAGGGCUUUAAUCCACUGCGCCACAGCACUGGCCCCAGCCAGUAUAUUGUUUUAUAAGGAUACUUUGAGACAAUGAGGCAAAGUGCUUGGAAUAGUGACCAGAGUAUUAUAACCCCUCAAUAAGCAACAUUUGUUAUGAUUUUUUUCUUGUGUUCUUUUGGGCCACUUCUAAUUCUAUGGUCUACCAGUUGCAAGGUGGUUUCUUGUGAUAACCAAGGCCCCCGUGCCUGGCUCUCUGUGCAAACGUUUUAGACGACUUCCCUGUGAUCUCUGCUCUCACAUGAGUACGCACUAAAGCCCCUUUGUCAGAUUUUUGCUCAUUCCUGCAACCUUGGGAGGUUUUCCUGCACUUUAUUUCACACUUAAAUAGUGCCUCCAUUAAAAGAAAACCUCCGGCCAGCGCCAAAGCUCAUUGGGCUAAUCCUCCGCCUGCGGCUCCAGCACCCCAGUUUCUAGUCCCGGUCGGGGCGCCGGAUUCUGUCCCGGUUGCCCCUCUUCCAGGCCAGCUCUCUGCUGUGGCCAGGGAGUGCAGUGGAGGAUGGCCCAAGUCCUUGGGCCCUGCACCCGCCUGGGAGACCAGGAGAAGCACCUGGCUCCUGGCUUCGGAUCAGCGCGGUGCGCCGGCCACAGUGGCCACUGGAGGGUGAACCAACGGAAAAAGG